rnacentral:rRNA from 1 species
AUACGUAGGGGGCGAGCGUUGUCCGGAAUGAUUGGGCGUAAAGGGCGCGUAGGCGGCCCGGUAAGUCUGGAGUGAAAGUCCUGUUUUUAAGAUGGGAAUUGCUUUGGAUACUGUCGGGCUUGAGUGCAGGAGAGGUAAGUGGAAUUCCCAGUGUAGCGGUGAGAUGCGUAGAGAUUGGGAGGAACACCAGUGGCGAAGGCGACUUACUGGACUGUAACUGACGCUGAGGCGCGAAAGUGUGGGGAGCAAACAGGAUUAGAUACCCUGGUAGUCCACACUGUAAACGAUGAAUGCUAGGUGUAGGGGGUAUCGACCCCUUCUGUGCCGCAGUCAACACAAUAAGCAUUCCGCCUGGGGAGUACGGCCGCAAGGUUGAAACUCAAAGGAAUUGGCGGGG